UUUUGUUUACUUUUUGUUGGGCUCUCAGUGUUUUCUACGUUGAAUGUUGCUGCUUUGGUAAUGCAUUUGCUUGCAAAUUUGGGUGCGCAGAAAAAGUUGUCUGCUCAGGAAGUCCAAUCUGUUGCUGAGGGGAAGAAAUAAGCCUCUUCUUAUAGAUUUCUACCCAACAUGGUGUUCAACUUGUAUCUUAAUGGCACAAAUGCUGGAAAUGGACCUGGGAAGGAUCAUGAGUCUUGGCCGUGCAUAUAUUUGGCAUAGAAGGGGUAUUCGAUCUUCUGUAUAGUGCAUGUCAUAUUUUGAUCUUUCAGAUCUUGGGGCUGAAGCAGAGACUAACUUGGCCAUUGCAGCAGGAUAUUUCUGAAGAUAACCUCACAAUUUCAUUGUAUAUAAUUUUUGGAUAAUUCAUACGUGAAAACAAUGUCAUUAGUCUGUGGAUGUGGUCAUCAUUACAAGGGUAGACUAGUUGGUUAGAAGCUUUGGUGACACUAAUGAAUCCCUUAAUGGGGGAGUGACAAGUAAGUCAGGGUCAGGAAGGAGCUCUUUAGUCGUUUCCCCCUGGGGAGGGUGGGAGUUGUGAAAAUUUUUCUUCUCCAUAUGAAGUUCUUUAGGUAUUUGUUAUUAAGUGCUUCAAUAAAAAUAUAACAUCUGAACAUAUUUUGCC